UGGACCUAACUGGCAUUCUCCUUCAG
rnacentral:piRNA from 1 species